rnacentral:rRNA from 1 species
GACGAACGCUGGCGGCGUGCUUAACACAUGCAAGUCGAACGGAAAGGCCCUGCUUUUGUGGGGUGCUCGAGUGGCGAACGGGUGAGUAACACGUGAGUAACCUGCCCUUGACUUUGGGAUAACUUCAGGAAACUGGGGCUAAUACCGGAUAGGAGCUCCUGCUGCAUGGUGGGGGUUGGAAAGUUUCGGCGGUUGGGGAUGGACUCGCGGCUUAUCAGCUUGUUGGUGGGGUAGUGGCUUACCAAGGCUUUGACGGGUAGCCGGCCUGAGAGGGUGACCGGCCUCAUUGGGACUGAGAUACGGCCCAGACUCCUACGGGAGGCAGCAGGGGGGAAUAUUGCACAAUGGGCGGAAGCCUGAUGCAGUAACGCCGCGUGCGGGAUGACGGCCUUCGGGUUGUAAACCGCUUUCGCCUGUGACGAAGCGUGAGUGACGGUAAUGGGUAAAGAAGCACCGGCUAACUACGUG